rnacentral:lncRNA from 1 species
GGCCCUCAAAGGAGCUCCACAGGACUUCUCUUAUCAUGACAGAUCGUGGGCCAUUGGAGUCGCCUUGGUCCAUCCACAUCAACAGUAAAUAAUGCAAUGCGUCAUAUUCGUGUAACUAGUGCAAUCAACCUAUUACAUAUAAACAUGAUGCAUGAACAUGCUUUAGGCAUUUGAUUUCGUAAAAUAAAAGAUUAAAUUUAGUUCUACUCACCUCUGGCAGACGCUGGACUAACUCUGCAACAGCUAACACUGAUGGCCUCCUCGGUCCCUCGGGUCCAAUCCUACACAGGAGGACUCGAAUGAGGUGCCAAACACACUCUAAACAACUCAUAAACAAC